rnacentral:rRNA from 1 species
GACGAACGCUGGCGGCGUGCUUAACACAUGCAAGUCGAACGGAAAGGCCCCUUUGGGGGUCCUCGAGUGGCGAACGGGUGCGUAACACGUGAGUAACCUGCCCUUGACUUCGGGAUAACUUCAGGAAACUGGGGCUAAUACCGGAUAGGAAUCCUUGCUGCAUGGUGGGGGUUGGAAAGCUUCGGCGGUUUUGGAUGGACUCGCGGCUUAUCAGCUUGUUGGUGGGGUAGUGGCUUACCAAGGCUUUGACGGGUAGCCGGCCUGAGAGGGCGACCGGCCACAUUGGGACUGAGAUACGGCCCAGACUCCUACGGGAGGCAGCAGGGGGGAAUAUUGCACAAUGGGCGGAAGCCUGAUGCAGCAACGCCGCGUGCGGGAGGACGGCCUUCGGGUUGUAAACCGAUUUCAGCAGGGGCGAAGCUUGUGGUGACGGUACCUGCAGAAGAAGCACCGGCUAACUACGUG